rnacentral:tRNA from 1 species
UCCGAUGUAGUAUAGUGGUUAGUAUACUGCGCUUUCAAGCUUUCAACAAAAGGCACCGCAGGGGCCGGGGUUCGAUUCCCCGCAUCGGAG